UACGGAGGGGGCUAGCGUUGUUCGGAAUUACUGGGCGUAAAGCGCACGUAGGCGGCUUUGCAAGUCAGAGGUGAAAGCCCGGGGCUCAACCCCGGAAUUGCCUUUGAGACUGCAUCGCUAGAAUUGUGGAGAGGUAAGUAGAAUUCCGAGUGUAGAGGUGAAAUUCGUAGAUAUUCGGAAGAACACCAGUGGCGAAGGCGGCUCACUGGCCCGGUACUGACGCUGAGGUGCGAAAGCGUGGGGAGCAAACAGG
rnacentral:rRNA from 1 species